CUUAAGGACAGGAAAGUGUAAAAGUUAACAGUACAGGGUGCGUUUUCAUUAAUUCCCUACUAUCAUUCACUAUUUUAAAAGCAGGUGGGGAUGCAAUAAAAUUCGCCCCAAUGAACACCAAAUCGUUCCGUAGUUUCUCUGACUGCUGAACAAAAUGUUAUCCGAUUAUAAAUGCUCCCGACUCAAGAGCGAAAUGAGCGACACACAUCGGUCAAGAGCUGCACUCACUUGGAGUAUCCAGUACUCAACUCCAGACUCAGGGCAAUUUACAGUGGUGAAUUAGCCCAAUGACUGGCACAUCAUUAGGAUAUGAGAGGAAACCUGAGCGCUGGAGGUGUGGGGGAGGGGCAUGGAGCCUAUGCGGUUACAAGGAGAAUGUACAUAAGAAAGCACUGGAGGUCAGGUAUGAAUGUGCAUGCCUACAACUCUGAGGCAGUGACUCUACUAAAACUGGUGUCACUCUGGCACCCUCCUCCUCCUCCGCAGGAACUGGAAAUCUGUAGCCGAUGGCUGAAUUUCUCCGAGCAACACAUACAAAAUGCUAGAGGAACUCAGAAGGUCAAGCAGCGUCUAUGGAAAGGAAUAAGCAGUCAAUGUUCCAAGCCAAGACCCUUCAUACGGACUCUGUUAUUUUCACCCAUGUUGAAUUUGUCCAGUUCCAUUAAUGCUUUCCAACCAUUCUGCUAUCACAUCUUUCAUGACAUUUUCCAGCAUUUUCCACACCACCAAUUCCCAGUGUUUCUCUUCCUCCUUUUUUAAAUAAUGGUAUUUACAUCUGACAUCGUCCAAGCUUACUAAAUUGAAAGAAUUCUAAAGGAUGACCAUCAAAACAUUCAUGAUUUCUAGGGUCACUUCCUGUUGUACCUUGAGAUUUAAAUUAUCCAUCUGAGAGAUUUAAUAGCCUUCCACUCCAGUAAUUUCACAAUCACUAUCCUUGCCAAUAAUAAUUUAUUUCAUUACAUGAUCUUUAUAAAUCCUUGGUUCUGUAAUACACUGGGGUAUUAUUUUUAUCCCAUUUACAAAGAAAGCUCAACAGAGGAUAUAUUUCAUUAGGAAUCAGAGAAUUGGAGUGUCACCUAAGAGACUCACACAUUUCUACAGAUGUACCAUGGAGCGCAUUCCAGCUGGUUUCAGCACCGUCUGGUAUGGAGGGGCCAAUGCAAAUGGUCAGAAAAAGAUGCAGGAAGUUGUAAACUCAGCCAGCUCCAAAAGGCGAUGCCCAAAAAAGGUAGCAUCCAUCAAUAAGGACCCUCAUCACCCAGGACAUGCCUCCUGUCAUUGCUACCAUCAUAGAGGAAGUACAGGAGCCCAAAAACACAGUCAAAGUUUCAGGAACUGCUUCUUCCCCUCUGCCAUCACAUUUCUUAAUGGACGAUGAGCCCAUGAGCCUCAGUAUUUUCCCUCUCUUUUUGCACAAAUUAUUAAAUGUAUUUUAUAUAUAUUGUCAUUUAUACUUUUUAUUAAUUUGUAUUGCAAUGUACUGCUGGUGCAAAAAAUCAAUUUUCACAACAUG